rnacentral:piRNA from 1 species
UGAUCCAGAACAGAGAUAUGACUACUGCG